CAACAAGUGACGCUAACACCCGCUCCUCCAUACUUCAAACAUUUGGGGGAAUUUCCAGCUUACUUGGGUGACUUCUUAGACAUUUCACAUCUUCUCUCAUUCUGGUCUCUCUCACGGAAGGGUAUCUUUGGAACCAAAACCUCCUGCCGUAUGGCCAGGGGAAGAGGCCGUGGUGGAGAGGAGCAGAGAGAACCUUUCGUCCUGCAAGUGGGUGUUUUGUUUGGAGGAGAACUGGCUGGCUGUCACCUGAAGAAUCACCUGCAAGCCCCGGGAGCUGCCGCGGGGAUACUGAACAGUGGGAACCACUGCUCUGUCGGAUUUGAGGGCAUCUGCAGGUGUUGCAAUGGGACAGUGUUGGAUUUCAUGUGACAAUCAUCAUGGACAACAUGGAAAAAGGUGACAUUUUGAUCUGCUAUGACUGCUUGUGAGAAGCAAUGUCAAUUCAAGGUCAGUAGUCCUCAGUUUGAGAGUCUUCCGGCCUUGUUUAAGAAGAGCAGCUUGUUAUUUUAAAUGUUAACACCUCUGAUCUAGCUCAACCAAGACUUCUUAAAGGGCUAGAUUUCCUGCUGCCUCACCACUUUUGCCAGAAUGAGUUUGUUUUCUUCUUUCUGUUGAGCGGUCUGUAUAUCACUCUAAAGAAAGAGAUCUUCUCUAGAACAAUUCCCCCAGCGAACCUUCUGAAGAUUCUGACGCUGCAGAGCCACUGGCUGGUAGCCGCCCCGCCCUCCUUUCCACCGCAUCACUGCAGGGUUUUGCUGGUUUGGAUCCUGGGCGAGGACAUGGCACCGCUUGUCAGGCCACGCUGAGGCAGCGUCCCACAUAGCACAACCAGAGGCACUCACAACUAGAAUAUACAGCUAUAUACCAGGGGGCUUUGGAGAGAAGAA
rnacentral:lncRNA from 1 species